ACUUUAUGGAGAGUUUGAUCCUGGCUCAGGACGAACGCUGGCGGCGUGCCUAAUACAUGCAAGUCGAGCGCAGGAAACUGACGGAACUCUUCGGAGGGAAGGCAGUGGAAUGAGCGGCGGACGGGUGAGUAACACGUAAGGAACCUGCCUCAAGGAUUGGGAUAACUCCGAGAAAUCGGAGCUAAUAC
rnacentral:rRNA from 1 species